rnacentral:rRNA from 1 species
CCCUUAGAGUUUGAUCCUGGCUCAGAUUGAACGCUGGCGGCAUGCCUUACACAUGCAAGUCGAACGGUAACAGGGAGCUUGCUCCGCUGACGAGUGGCGAACGGGUGAGUAAUACAUCGGAACGUGCCCAGUAAUGGGGGAUAGCUCGGCGAAAGCCGGAUUAAUACCGCAUACGCCCUGAGGGGGAAAGUGGGGGACCGCAAGGCCUCACGUUAUUGGAGCGGCCGAUGGCUGAUUAGCUAGUUGGUAGGGUAAAGGCCUACCAAGGCGACGAUCAGUAGCUGGUCUGAGAGGACGAUCAGCCACACUGGGACUGAGACACGGCCCAGACUCCUACGGGAGGCAGCAGUGGGGAAUUUUGGACAAUGGGGGAAACCCUGAUCCAGCAAUGCCGCGUGUGCGAAGAAGGCCUUCGGGUUGUAAAGCACUUUUGUCAGGGAAGAAAUCCUUUGGGCUAAUACCCUAGGGGGAUGACGGUACCUGAAGAAUAAGCACCGGCUAACUACGUGCCAGCAGCCGCGGUAAUACGUAGGGUGCAAGCGUUAAUCGGAAUUACUGGGCGUAAAGCGUGCGCAGGCGGUUGUGUAAGACAGGUGUGAAAUCCCCGGGCUUAACCUGGGAAUUGCAUUUGUGACUGCACGACUAGAGUGUGUCAGAGGGGGGUGGAAUUCCACGUGUAGCAGUGAAAUGCGUAGAUAUGUGGAGGAACACCAAUGGCGAAGGCAGCCCCCUGGGAUAACACUGACGCUCAUGCA